GAUGAACGCUGGCGGCGUGCUUAACACAUGCAAGUCGAACGGAACUGUUUGGAUGAAGUUUUCGGAUGGAUUUUUAAACAGUUUAGUGGCGGACGGGUGAGUAACGCGUGGGUAACCUGCCUCACACUGGGGGAUAACAGUUAGAAAUAGCUGCUAAUACCGCAUAAGCGCACAGCUCCGCAUGGAGCAGUGUGAAAAACUCCGGUGGUGUAGAGAGUGUCCGCGUCUGAUUAGCUAGUUGGUGAGGUAACGGCCCACCAAGGCGACGAUCAGUAGCCGGCUUGAGAGAGUGAACGGCCACACUGGAACUGAGACACGGUCCAG
rnacentral:rRNA from 1 species